UUAAAACACCAGUUCCCAUAUGACCAGUGAAUUUAAGCAAUGUUGAGCUUGGUCAGUACCUAGAUGGGUGACCACUUGGGAAUAGCAGGUGCUGUAAG